GACGAACGCUGGCGGCGUGCUUAACACAUGCAAGUCGAACGGUAAGGCCCUUCGGGGUACACGAGUGGCGAACGGGUGAGUAACACGUGGGUGAUCUGCCCUGCACUUCGGGAUAAGCCUGGGAAACUGGGUCUAAUACCGGAUAGGACCACUGCCUGCAUGGGUGGUGGUGGAAAGCUUUUGCGGUGUGGGAUGGGCCCGCGGCCUAUCAGCUUGUUGGUGGGGUGAUGGCCUACCAAGGCGACGACGGGUAGCCGGCCUGAGAGGGUGACCGGCCACACCGGGACUGAGAUACGGCCCGGACUCCUACGGGAGGCAGCAGUGGGGAAUAUUGCACAAUGGGCGCAAGCCUGAUGCAGCGACGCCGCGUGAGGGAUGACGGCCUUCGGGUUGUAAACCUCUUUCAGCACCGACGAAGCGCAAGUGACGGUAGGUGCAGAAGAAGGACCGGCCAACUACGUGCCAGCCGCCGCCGUAA
rnacentral:rRNA from 1 species